rnacentral:rRNA from 1 species
AUGCUCUCCACACUCAACUUCUCCGGUGACCAGCUAUGGGGGUCCAUACCCUCGUCGUUAAGCAACCUCCGGAGGCUCACGCUACUGGACCUCUCCAGCAACAAUCUCACCGGCCAAAUCCCUGCUGCUUUAGGUAAUCUCUCAAGACUUGCCUUUCUUUAUCUACCUGGGAAUAGGCUGUCAGGUAACAUCCCAUGGCACCUUGGACGGCUUCGGAACAUGAGAGAGAUGGAUUUGGGCUCCAACAUCCUUUCUGGCCAAAUACCUUCUGCCCUUGCAAACUUGACCAGCCUCAACUCUCUGGUCUUUUCUGACAACCGUUUGUCAGGACCCAUACCUGAAGAGUUAGGACAAGUCCAGACUCUGCAAGAACUAGUAUUCGAGAAAAACAACCUCAAUGGCAUACUUCCGCGCUCCUUUGGAAACCUCACAGAGCUCAGAUACCUCACCGCAUAUCUGAACCAGCUCACUGGUCCGGUCCCUGUAGAGUUUGGGAUGCUCUCCAACUUGAUUGGGUUGGAUUUGUCGGUGAACCGUUUAACUGGCUCAGUUCCCUCUGGUGUUGCCGGCAAUCUUACUUCACUGACCUAUUUUGCUCUUUGGGAUAACCAUAUAACUGGAUCAAUCCCUCAUGAGUUUGGAAAUCUUGUGAAUCUUGAAGCACUCCUACUCUCGGACAAUUUCAUUGUUGGAUCAGUGCCGCCAAGUAUUGGGAACAUGUCUUCACUAAAACAAAUAGCAAUAAAUAACAACAGUCUCUCUGGCGAGUUGCCGCCCGAGUUUGGAAAUUUGGAAAAUUUGGAAUAUCUUAUAUCCUACCAAAACAAAUUGCCCGGAUCAAUUCAUCAAAGUUUUGGGAAAUUGAAGAGCAUGAUAGAAAUGCGACUGUUCAAUAAUAAGUUCUCUGGUCCUUUGCCUCCUGGACUCUCCAACCUCACCAAUUUGGUCGCCAUUCAACUAGCUGACAACCAGCUGACCGGACACUUGCCAGACUUGUGCCACGGUAAGAAGCUUCAGGUUUUCCGACUCUUUCGCAACAAUUUUGACGGGCCUGUCCCAAAAGGUUUGAGGGAUUGUAGUUCACUAAUAUAUUUCGGAAUCAGCAAAAAUCAGAUCGAGGGAGACAUAUCUGAAGCAUUUGGGGUGUAUCCACAUCUGAGUGACAUUAAUUUGUCUUCAAACAGAUUUAAAGGCCGGCUCUCGCCAAACUGGGGCUCAUGUAAAAACUUAACAGUCAUUACAUAUGGAGAACAAGUGAACAACAGCCUUAAUGGAAGUCUUCCUGGUAGUUUGGGCAAUUUAGCUUCGCUGCAAAGAAUGCUUGAUCUUAGUAUGAACAGUCUCAGCGGACCAAUACCACCGGAACUCGGGAAACUAGAGGUAUUGAUGUUUGUAAACUUCUCACACAAUCAAUUCAGCGGUGCCAUCCCUGUUUCGAUUGCAAGCAUGCAAAGCCUAACAAUGUUUGAUGUAUCAUACAACUUCCUAGAAGGGUCUAUCCCGAAAGGGAUUCGCAAUGCAUCAGCAGAAUGGUUUCUCCACAACAAAGAUCUUUGUGGAGACCUUAUUGGCAUCUCUCCUUGUAAUUUACCCCUUGCGGAUCAUAGGAGAAAGCAUCAAAAGAUUAUACUGUCAAUCGGUCUUCCUAUGUUUGCUGCUGCUAUUUCAGUAGUAGUAGCAUGUGUAAUUGCCUUUUUUAUUUGCCGCAAGAAAGUAUCUCAAAGAACUGAUGAUGUGAACAAAAGGGAUGUAUUCUCUGUAUGGAGCUUUGAUGGCAAAAUGGCAUUUGAGGAUAUUAUCAAUGCAACUGACAAUUUCGAUGAGAAACAUUGCAUUGGAGAAGGAUCCAGUGGUAUUGUUUAUAAGGCAGAACUUCCAGAUGAACAAGUGGUUGCAAGAAGGGUGGCUCUAAUAAGAGAUGUGGCUCAAGCCCUCACUUACCUCCACCAUGAUGUUCACCCACCCAUAAUUCAUCGAGACAUCACAAGCAGAAACAUCUUACUAGAUGCUGGCUACAAGGGGUUUGUCUCGGAUUUCGGUAUUGCAAGAAUGUUGAAACCUGAUUCAUCAAACUGGAGUGCACUAGCAGGGACUUAUGGGUACAUAGCACCUGAGGCAAAUCCUGGCAGGAUUUUCUACAAGUGCCCCAACCACCAUAUUCCACCAAAUACUUGCCAACAUUAUUAUUGGGAAGAUGGACCAGACAACUAUUUAGAUUUUUUGGUGAGAGGUGGAUACGUCAGCCCUGGAUUGAGCAGUUUUGAUUCAGCUGGUGUCAUUGCAAGUGAAGAAACAGAGGUGCAAGUGAAGAAGCAGAGCACUGUUGAGACUGUGGUGUAUGCAGAAGCAAUGCAGAAGAUGAAUGAGCUCAUUUUUCUCUGUAGGAGUAUUCUCAGUGCACUUGUUGUACUGAUUGUAGUAGUGGUGUGUGUAGGAUUUAAGAAGUGA